UUAAAGGCCCCGCCUCUUCCUCUUGAGGCCACACCCCUGCCCAGGACUCCGGUGUACCGAUACGGGACAGCUGGCUAUACACACGAGGGUGUGGAUCUAUGGGCACAGUAUUAUGUUUUGAGUGCAUAGGCACUCAUCCAGGUUGCCUGAGGGCUCCCAGUUGGGAUUUGGUGGCAAAGCAUUACUCAUUUGGCACACACAGAGGCGCAUGUUAUGGGAUCAACUGAUACCGCUGUUGUAUGCUGUGCGGCAGGGAGAUGUUUGGUCAGACAAGGAGGAGGAUAGCCAACUGCUGGGAAGAAGGGAGACUGAAGAACUCACGCCCAGACAUGCUGGAGCCUAACCCUUCCUUCUAUCUCAAAGUGCAUGUGGGAAUAUGCCUGGGGGAGUGGCCAACACUGGCCAACCAAUGAGGAUAUGGGGAUCUGGUUGGCUCUCACAGCUCCCCUUCUCCAAGUGUUAAGCCUUCCCUAGGGCCAGUGGCAAUCUGCUGCAAUCACUGCUCUGCCUUCCCUCCUUCCUUGUAGUUGAGGUUUAUUAAGUUUUGAUUCCUUGAUGCUUUGCUCAGUUGUGUGUUUUGGGAUCAGGAAGGAUUUUUUUUCCCUGUUGGGCUAAAUAUUCAGGAGUCCAGAGAGUUUUUUGCCUUUCUUGCAGCUUUGUGCCACCACACUUUAGUUUAAAAGUAAGGAAACCUGAAUUCUUCACAGACUAAGGUCCCCCUACUUCCCUCUACCUCCUCCAAGGUGAGAGGAUUCAGAAGUGAGCUGAAUUCUAGGUGCAGGCUGAAGAGGGUCUAUCCUGAGUUAUUGUUUAUA